rnacentral:tRNA from 1 species
AAGGGAGACCUAAUUCAGGUAGGAGACGAAAAAAAAGUAGUCCCUACCAGGAAUCAAUCCCAAAAGGUCGGAGCGAGGCGAAAUUGGCUUUCAAACUAGGUUCUGGGUUCAAACAAGACCUGAAUCAGGAACAAGGGCUAUUAGCUCAGGUGGUUAGAGCGCACCCCUGAUAAGGGUGAGGUCCCUGGUUCGAGUCCAGGAUGGCCCACCUGCACAGGUGGCAAAAACAAGAGAAGCGAGGAAUCAGCACCUUAUCUUACUGACAUAGUAAGAGAGAAUGCUGGCUCUGAGUAAAGAGUCCAGAGGAACCUUGAAAACUGCAUAGAGCUAGGUGAAAAAGCCAAAAAAGAAGACCGCAAGGUCAAGCUAAUAAGGGCUAACGGUGGAUACCUAGGCAC